GUCUGUUCCCCAACAGGCGUGUUCACGACUCCCCGGAUUCGCUGCUUUUCCUCGCCGUCGGUGGCUUUUUGGCGCCGAUGCGCUUGGGGAACGGCGGAUCCUCUUCUAAUAAAUAGAGUAGUUGUACGUAGAUUAGGGUUGGAUUUCUUACCGGUGAAGAUCUGAUUAUCGCCUGUGUUCUUGGUGAGCGAGUCCCGGUUCUGUCUGAGGUGCGUGUGUUGCUCGAUGGUCUUAUCUUUUACACGGGCUCACCGUCGACGGGUAUGUCAUUGAUUUUAUCUUCUGCGUCGGUGUUCGGUUUCUAUGUGAUUUUCUUGGUGCCGUUGGUGCCCAUGGUGCCAGCGACAGUGCUGGAUCUGUAAACCAGAACACGGCAAUGGAUAUGUGGAGAAAUUUUUGGAAGGCUGCUGGUGACCUUUGAGGCGUCAGAUUUCUUGUUUUACCGGCGAUGUAAUGGCCGGCGGCCAUCUUCUUCAGCCAGGACGUUCAACGAGCUUACAGCAUGUCGAUGCACUUGAUAUGUGACUCAUGGUGGCGUCAAAAAAAUUGUGAAGAGAUAUCGUCCAGAAGGAGGUCGGCUUCAAGCUACAUAUUGCUCCGAUCGUCGGCGACAGGUUCAACCGAGAGGAUCUUGAUCUUGCAGGGACUGGGUUGUAGUUUCAUUUUUUUUGAGAGGGUCUUUGUAGGAUCUGGUGUAAACAUUAAGAAGUUUAUGUAAUAUAUAUUCCUGAUUUCAAAAAAAAGAUGAGGUUAUGCAACUGUGGAGGCUGCUCGACUCCUCUCGUUCCUUCUAGAGUGAAACAGUAGAGAGCGGCGACUCACAGGCUAUUUCGUUGUUCCUCCACCGGUUCGCCGUUGUCCUCACUUCCGUCGUCCUCGCCGGCGUUAGAGGAGGAGGGGGACCGGUUGAAUUGGCGGCGGAUUGGCUUUCCUCUGUAUAUAGGUAGCUAUAUAGCUGGAGCGCUGUCGGAGGAUGCGGUGGAGGCAGAUCUGGCGUUGGCAUCGACAAAGCUGAAGCUCCUUCCUCCGGCGACGGUCCAUGGAGAAUAAGAUGUGAGCUUGUCGAAUCUGGAGCCCUGGUGGGUGCUCUGAAUCUAGGUGGUUCUCCUACUGUUCCUCCCUCUUCUCCGUCGGUGCCGGCAUCGGUGAUGUUAGAUUCUCCGGCGGGAAGCUCGGGAGGUAAGUUUUACCAGCUUGUGGAAUCGGGUUGAUCUUCAUCUUCCACCUUUUCUGGUGGUUUCUUUUCACUCCGAGGUGUAUUGUCGUCCGGCGAACUGGGACUGUCAAUGGUUGAGGCGUCAGAUAUUCGAUUCUCUGGCAAUAUGAUGGCCGUUGGCCAUCUUGUUAGGCCUGCAUGUUCAGCGGCGAGUAAGAUGCGCGUCGGUGAUGCCGUUGUGCUACUCUGGGUGCCGCUUAAAAUCUGUGUGUGUUCGUCAGGAGAAUGGUCGGCUGCAACGGGACUGUUCUGGCCGUUGGCGACGAGCGCAACCGGGAGAAGCUUGCAAGGACUUGGUUGUAAUUUUCAUGUUUCUCAAAGGUGUCGUUGUAAGUGUUGGAAUGUAAACCAUCAAAAUUAUGUGUGAAAUAUAAAUCUGGUUUUCUAAAAAAAAUA